UACGGGGGGGGCAAGCGUUGUUCGGAAUUACUGGGCGUAAAGGGCUUGUAGGUGGCCAACUAAGUCAGACGUGAAAUCCCUCGGCUUAACCGGGGAACUGCGUCUGAUACUGGAUGGCUUGAGUGUGGGAGAGGGAUGCGGAAUUCCAGGUGUAGCGGUGAAAUGCGUAGAUAUCUGGAGGAACACCGGUGGCGAAGGCGGCAGCCUGGACCAUUACUGACACUGAAAAGCGAAAGCCAGGGGAGCAAACGGG
rnacentral:rRNA from 1 species